rnacentral:rRNA from 1 species
GACGAACGCUGGCGGCGUGCUUAACACAUGCAAGUCGAACGGAAAGGCCUGCAGCUUGCUGCGGGUACUCGAGUGGCGAACGGGUGAGUAACACGUGGGUGAUCUGCCUUGCACUUCGGGAUAAGCUUGGGAAACUGGGUCUAAUACCGGAUAGGACAGCUGUUUAGUGUCAGUUGUGGAAAGUUUUUUCGGUGCAAGAUGAGCUCGCGGCCUAUCAGCUUGUUGGUGGGGUAAUGGCCUACCAAGGCGUCGACGGGUAGCCGGCCUGAGAGGGUGUACGGCCACAUUGGGACUGAGAUACGGCCCAGACUCCUACGGGAGGCAGCAGUGGGGAAUAUUGCACAAUGGGCGGAAGCCUGAUGCAGCGACGCCGCGUGGGGGAUGAAGGCCUUCGGGUUGUAAACUCCUUUCGACAGGGACGAAGCGUAAGUGACGGUACCUGUAUAAGAAGCACCGGCUAACUACGUGCCAGCAGCCGCGGUAAUACGUAGGGUGCGAGCGUUGUCCGGAAUUACUGGGCGUAAAGAGCUCGUAGGUGGUUUGUCGCGUCGUCUGUGAAAUUCCGGGGCUUAACUCCGGGCGUGCAGGCGAUACGGGCUGACUUGAGUGCUGUAGGGGAGACUGGAAUUCCUGGUGUAGCGGUGAAAUGCGCAGAUAUCAGGAGGAACACCGAUGGCGAAGGCAGGUCUCUGGGCAGUAACUGACGCUGAGGAGCGAAAGCAUGGGUAGCGAACAGGAUUAGAUACCCUGGUAGUCCAUGCCGUAAACGGUGGGCGCUAGGUGUAGGGGGCUUCCACGUCUUCUGUGCCGUAGCUAACGCAUUAA